UGUUUGUUUGUUUGUUUGUUUGUUUUUGUUUUUGACAGAGUGGACAGUGAGAGAGAAAGGUCUUCUUUUUUCCGUUGGUUCACCCCCCAAUGGCCGCUGAAGCCAGGAGCCAGGUGCUUCUCCUGGUCUCCCAUGUGGGUGCAGGGCCCAAGCACUUGGGCCAUCCUCCACUGCACUCCCUGGCCACAGCAGAGAGCUGGCCUGGAAGAGGGGCAACCAGGACAGAAUCCGGCGCCCCGACCGGGACUAGAACCCGGUGUGCCGGCGCCGCAAGGCGGAGGAUUAGCCUAGUGAGCCGUGGCGCUGGCAAACACUUUCUAUCAACUGAGUUGAUAGUGUGCGUUUUCUGUUUUGUAUACUUGGUCUGCUGGGUAGUUUUCAUACGUUGAACCAUCUUUGCAUUGCUGGGAUAAACUCCACUUGGUAUGGUUUAUUCCUUUUAAUGUGUUGCUGAAACGUAUUUAGUUUUUUCUUUCCAAUUUAUUUAUUGGAAAGUAGUGGGAGACAGAGGGGAAAGUAUCUCCCAUCUACUGGUUCUAGUCAAUUUAGUAUUUUCUUGAGAAUUUUUGCAUUGUUUUUCCUCUGGUUGUUUUCAAGAUUCCCUGUGUUUGAGCGAUGGGUUUCUUUCAUUGGAUCCUACUUGGAGCUCACUGAUUUGUAUUUAUAUAUUUGUAUUUAUAUAUUCACUUCUUUCCUCAAAUCUGGGAAGCUUACAGCCAGUAUUCUUUGAAACUAGGCUCUUGUCCCUCUUUUCUUUCUUGAAUCCCUGUAAUGUGUAUAUUGGUUGGCUUGAUUGUGUCCCAGAAGUCUCUUAAAUGGCAAACUUGUUAAAUUUUUUUUUCUUCUCUCAGUAACUGCAUAUGACAACCCCAUUGCUGCCACCGAAGGAUAACCACGGUAGUGUAUGUGUUUCAGAGUCUUCCCUGGGGUACCCUCCUCACUCUGCAUCAAAGAGGCACACUUUGAUUUCUUGAUUCACCAGCUUUGUUCACAGUUUCACAUAUCCAAAGAUGAGGUUUUAUAGACUUGGCCUUCUUCCCUCUCAUUCUUGUUGUAUUGUCAUAUUUCUUAUUUGUUAAAAUUUUAUAUUUUAAAUGGAGGAGCAAGGAGAAAGGGAGCGAGCUGUCAGCUGAUUCACUCCCCAAGAGCACGCAAAAGCCACACCUGGGCCAGGCUGAAGCAGGCCUCCCAUGCAAGUGACAGAAACUCAGUCAUUGAAGCCCCCACUGCGCUCCCCACGGUUUACGUUGGGAGUCAGGACCCAGAGCCGAGGAUUAGACCCGAGCACUCGGAUGAGGGGUGCCAUCAUAACCAGUAGGACAACGUGCCCGCCCCUGUUGGGAAUAUUCUAAGCACGUGUAUACAGAGAAUUCGUGAGCUCCAACAACAUACACAAGGGAGAGUAACACUUAGUUCUCCUUCUCUUCUGUACAACUUCUGAACUUGUUUUCUAAAGUGUAAUUCAUUUCAUUAAAGGGUAUAUGCAUGUUGUACCUGGAUGCUUUGAAUUACCCCCUGGAGCUGGGCCAGCUGAUGAGGACUCUGGACAGUAGCACCCCUGCCAGCUACCGGAUCACAUUUGUCCCUUCAGAAUACAGGUUGGAGAGAGGAGAACGGACUGUUUGCUUGUUUGCGGUUUGCAGGAGCGGCUGACCUGUGGAGCCCCGUGAGCGAAGGUGCGUGUGGUGCAGGGAAGAUGUGGCUGCAGCCACAGAGGAACGCCUGUCUCCUGGACAGAACUCAGCA